UACGUAGGGUGCGAGCGUUAAUCGGAAUUACUGGGCGUAAAGCGUGCGCAGGCGGUUCGUCGUGUCCGAUGUGAAAGCCCCGGGCUCAACCUGGGAAUGGCAUUGGAAACUGGCGGACUCGAGUGUGGCAGAGGGGGGGUGGAAUUCCGCGUGUAGCAGUGAAAUGCGUAGAGAUGCGGAGGAACACCGAUGGCGAAGGCAGCCCCCUGGGCUAACACUGACGCUCAGGCACGAAAGCGUGGGGAGCAAACAGG
rnacentral:rRNA from 1 species